GCUGGGCAUAGUGGUGCAUGCCUGUAAUCCCAAUGACUCUGGAGGCUGAGGCAGGAGGAUUGCAAGUUCAAGGCCAAUCUCAGCAACUUAGAGAGACAAUGUCUCAA
rnacentral:sRNA from 1 species